rnacentral:tRNA from 1 species
GACUCCAUCGUAUAGUGGUUAGUACAUCGCCUUCUCAGGGCGAGAACCGGGGUUCGAAUCCCCGUGGAGUCACCA